GAGAGUUUGAUCCUGGCUCAGGAUGAACGCUGGCGGCGUGCUUAACACAUGCAAGUCGAACGGUGAAGCCCAGCUUGCUGGGUGGAUCAGUGGCGAACGGGUGAGUAACACGUGAGCAACCUGCCCCUGACUCUGGGAUAAGCGCUGGAAACGGCGUCUAAUACUGGAUAUUUGCUCCUGCCGCAUGGUGGGGGUUGGAAAGAUUUUUUGGUUGGGGAUGGGCUCGCGGCCUAUCAGCUUGUUGGUGAGGUAAUGGCUCACCAAGGCGUCGACGGGUAGCCGGCCUGAGAGGGUGACCGGCCACACUGGGACUGAGACACGGCCCAGACUCCUACGGGAGGCAGCAGUGGGGAAUAUUGCACAAUGGGCGGAAGCCUGAUGCAGCAACGCCGCGUGAGGGAUGACGGCUUUCGGGUUGUAAACCUCUUUUAGCAAGGAAGAAGCUUUUGUGAAGGUACUUGCAGAAAAAGCGCCGGCUAACUACGUGCCAGCAGCCGCGGUAAUACGUAGGGCGCAAGCGUUAUCCGGAAUUAUUGGGCGUAAAGAGCUCGUAGGCGGUUUGUCGCGUCUGCUGUGAAAUCCCGAGGCUCAACCUCGGGCCUGCAGUGGGUACGGGCAGACUAGAGUGCGGUAGGGGAGAUUGGAAUUCCUGGUGUAGCGGUGGAAUGCGCAGAUAUCAGGAGGAACACCGAUGGCGAAGGCAGAUCUCUGGGCCGUAACUGACGCUGAGGAGCGAAAGGGUGGGGAGCAAACAGGCUUAGAUACCCUGGUAGUCCACCCCGUAAACGUUGGGAACUAGUUGUGGGGUCCUUUCCACGGAUUCCGUGACGCAGCUAACGCAUUAAGUAC
rnacentral:rRNA from 1 species